GCUUACGGCCAUACCACCCUGGCAAUGCCCCAUCUCAUCUGAACUCGGAAGUAAAGCAGGGUCGGGCCUGGUUAGUACUUAGAUGGGAGACCGCCUGGCAAUACCAGGUGCUGUAAGCU
rfam:Danio rerio chromosome 4, GRCz11 reference primary assembly.